AUAUCAAUAAGCGGAGGAAAAGAAACCAACAGGGAUUGCCUUAGUAACGGCGAGUGAAGUGGCAAAAGCUCAAAUUUGAAAUCUGGCGCCUUUGGUGUCCGAGUUGUAAUUUGAAGAAGGUAACUUUGAGAUUGGCCCUUGCAUAAGUUCCUUGGAACAGGACGUCAUAGAGGGUGAGAAUCCCGUUUAUGGUGAGGUGCCCAAUUUCUUGUAAAGUGCUUUCGAAGAGUCGAGUUGUUUGGGAAUGCAGCUCUAAGUGGGUGGUAAAUUCCAUCUAAGGCUAAAUAUUGGCGAGAGACCGAUAGCGAACAAGUACAGUGAUGGAAAGAUGAAAAGAACUUUGAAAAGAGAGUGAAAAAGUACGUGAAAUUGUUGAAAGGGAAGGGCAUAAGAUCAGACUUGGUAUUCAGUGAUCAACUUUCUUUCGGGAUUGUGCACUCGCUGUUUACUGGGCCAAUAUCAGUUUUGGUGGUAGGAUAAUGAUUUAGGAAUGUGGCUCCUCGGAGUGUUAUAGCCUAGGUUGAUACUACCUACCGGGACUGAGGACAGCGCUUUUGCUAGGAUAUUGGCGUAAUGAUCUUAUGCCAC
rnacentral:rRNA from 1 species